rnacentral:rRNA from 1 species
AGAGUUUGAUCCUGGCUCAGGAUGAACGCUAGCGGCAGGCUUAACACAUGCAAGUCGAGGGGUAGAGGUUGCUUGCAACCUUGAGACCGGCGCACGGGUGCGUAACGCGUAUGCAACCUACCUUUUACAGAGGGAUAGCCCAGAGAAAUUUGGAUUAAUACCUCAUAGUAUAUAUCUUUCGCAUGUUAGGUAUAUUAAAGUUCCAACGGUAAAAGAUGGGCAUGCGUCCUAUUAGCUAGAUGGUAAGGUAACGGCUUACCAUGGCUACGAUUGGUAGGGGUCCUGAGAGGGAGAUCCCCCACACUGGUACUGAGACACGGACCAGACUCCUACGGGAGGCAGCAGUGAGGAAUAUUGGACAAUGGGCGCAAGCCUGAUCCAGCCAUGCCGCGUGCAGGAAGAAGCAUCUAUGGUGUGUAAACUGCUUUUGUACAGGAAGAAACAUCCCGACGUGUCGGGACUUGACGGUACUGUAAGAAUAAGGAUCGGCUAACUCCGUGCCAGCAGCCGCGGUAAUACGGAGGAUCCAAGCGUUAUCCGGAAUCAUUGGGUUUAAAGGGUCCGUAGGCGGUUUGGUAAGUCAGUGGUGAAAGCCCGCAGCUCAACUGUGGAACGGCCAUUGAUACUGCCAGACUUGAAUUACAAGGAAGUAACUAGAAUAUGUAGUGUAGCGGUGAAAUGCUUAGAUAUUACAUGGAAUACCAAUUGCGAAGGCAGGUUACUACUUGUGGAUUGACGCUGAUGGACGAAAGCGUGGGGAGCGAACAGGAUUAGAUACCCUGGUAGUCCAA